rnacentral:misc_RNA from 1 species
GAUGAAGAACGCAGCGAAAUGCGAUAAGUAAUGUGAAUUGCAGAAUUCAGUGAAUCAUCGAAUCUUUGAACGCACCUUGCGCCCUUUGGCUAUUCCGAAGGGCAUGCCUGUUUGAGUAUCGUGAACACCUCAACUCUCAUGGUUUGCCAUGAUGAGCUUGGACUUUGGGGGUCUUGCCGGCCUAUGGGUCGGCUCCUCUCAAAUUAAUCAGCUUGCCAGUGUUUGGUGGCAUCACAGGUGUGAUAACUAUCUACGCUUGUGGUUUUCCAUCAGGUAACCUUCAGUGAUGGAGGUUCGCUGGGGCUCAUAAAUGUCUCUCCUCAGUGAGGACAGCUUUUUUGAACGUUUGAUCUCAAAUCAGGUAGGACUACCCGCUGAACUUAAGCAUAUCAAUAAGCGGAGGA